GUCAACGUGGUGUAGUGGUUUCAGCAUUGGACUAUGACUCUGGAGACCAGGGCUUGAAUCCCAGCUUAGACA